AUGGCGGAAAAUUUUGAAAAGACGGAGGAAACUAGACAUCAAGGAUGUGCGUUCUUUUUGAAACGUAAAAACAGAUAUUGUAAAAUGAUUCCUGGGAAAAGAAACAAAUAUUGUGGUGAACAUUCAUAUCUUGCCCAAGAUAACCAAGGCAUUCCAGCGCGAAAACGAAUUCCUUGUCCACUGGAUACAAAGCACACAGUGUUUGAGGAUCAACUUGAGAAACAUUUGAAGAAAUGCAAUGUUACUAAGAAGAGAAACGUUGAAUAUUAUGUUGCAAAUAUUAACAGUGGAAUUUGCCAUAAUGAAUCAUCAUGGGAAAAGCUACCUUUAAGGAAAAUUCCAAAAGAUGAUAUCCAAAAUUGUAUAGACAGAAUCAAGUUAUACUUUGAACAAGGAAAUGCUGUUGAUAUCAAAACCUCUGUUUUAACUGAACAAUGUCUUGAAAAUGAAAUAAACAACACCAGUUGUAACCAUGCUUUGAAAAAGCAUUUACACCAACAGUCAUCAUUGAUAGGAAAUUUAAGAAAUUCAGAACUUUUAAAAUCGGAUUCAAUUUUUGUUGAAUUUGGAGCAGGACGGGGUUUGUUAUCACAUUGGAUACAAAAAUCUAUGAAAGAUGAAUCAAAUGUGGAUUUCUUGCUUGUCGACAGGGCAAGCACGCGAUAUAAGGCAGACUCCUACCACCGUGGACCAGAGCAAGGACCAAGUUUUCACCGAAUUCAGAUUGAUAUUGAACACUUAGAUUUAGAUAAUGUGCCGCUUAUAUCCAACAGUAAACAAGAAGUAACUGCCGUCAGCAAACACCUGUGUGGAGCUGCAACAGAUCUGGGAUUGAGAUGUCUACUCAAUUCACCUGACGAAACAGAGUGUUCUGACGACAACCCAGACAGAAAUGAAGCCAGAUCAACAAAGAGACUAAAACUUGGCGGCAAUCGUGUGCGGGGUCUUUUGUUUGCAUUGUGCUGUCACCACUGUUGUUCUUGGGCUAGCUAUGUCGGGAGAACAUUUUUGGAAAAUCUCGGUUUUACUGCGUACGACUUUCACAUUCUGUGCUGCCUGAGCAGUUGGGCUACCUGUGGCAGUCGAAAGGAAACACGGGCGAACGCUAAGAAUGAUACCCAGGCCUCUGAAAACCGUACGACGUGCGAAACAGUGACUGGGGCCCCAACUGAGCUGACUGAGGAUACAACAGGGACAAGAGGGGAUGACCAUGAACAUAGAACGAUAGAAGUCGAUGAAGGAAGUUGUAUAAGAGCUUUAGGAUUUACUAAGAGUCAAAGCGAGGAUAUUGGUCGUCAAAGUAAACGUUUAAUUGACGCUGGACGAGUCUGGUAUUUGAAACAAUUUGAUUUGGACGCUUCUCUUUUUUAUUAUGUCGAUCGGUCGGUUUCGUUGGAAAACAUCGCCAUCGUCGCUUAUAACAGAAGAAGUAAUUUUGAAAAAGAGUCUGAUUAAGCAGGAGGGCGCCGCUUUUGAAAAUCCAAGCCAUCCAUGUUUGUCUGGAGAGUUAUUCGUGAUAGGAUGAAAUGUUCAAUUUCAAACCAAAUUAUGAGGCAAGAUAGACGAAGAUUGGAUUCCUCGCCUCUUGUAACUGAUUUUUGGUCCAAAUUUUAACGAGGCAUCCUUAUACGGCCAAAGCUUGCUCAACUCGACAGUUCUACUUGUAUUCACCAUUAAGUGAUCUCAAUCAAAUCAUUUGGUCAGUGAAGUUUCAAUGAAGACAAUUAGACAAUAAAUAAACUGUUCAUGAAAUACUAGGAGACCACCAUGGCACCAUCCAUGUUCACUGACUCUACUCCCUGUUGUUGCAAAAAUCAUGGCUCUUCUUAAAGCUGAGGUGAUUUCCUAACAACAUUUGGGUCUCCUAACCACCUGUCAUAUUGUGGUAUAUCUGUUGGCACAGAUAAGAGUGUGUACAAAGCUCUAUCAGUUUCAAACUGGCCUCUCCUCUUAGCACAAGUGCUGGUAAGAAUGAAGCAAUGAUGGCUCUAUCAGUAUUGAAAUGUUCUUCCUGAAGGUUCAGCAAGAGACAGAGAAUGAAAGUGGAAGCAUUCCACUCAUGUAGAUGGACAUUUCCCGGGAUGGCGUGAUCAUGGAUGAAAGUGUUUAUUUCACAAGUUGUCUGAAAGAUGACACACUGCACGUCAAGACAAUAUAGACCAUGUCACAUAGCAGAAAUUUUUCAACGUCAAUACUUAUGCAUCGAGAGGACAGGAUAUGAAAUGCAAGACAAGAAGAUAUUGCGGAGAGGGAUCCGCCAUAAAGUAUCGCAAUUCCUUUGCCCUUGAAAUGUACACGGUCGAGUAAGCCUGGAACGACAUUUGCCCGGAUGGCGUAAGUACUGGCUACGAUUGCUUAUGUCAAAGCCAGUUUGAAAGAUGAGAAACGGCACGUCGCCUUUUCAGUUGAAGUUAGCUUCUCCGAACAGCACGGUUUUAACUGUUGGCUAUUUUCCAAAUCAAAUGAUGCCCUAUCUUUUGAUCUGUGAAUUAAGCUAGUUUGGGAAAAUUGGGAUGGUUAUAUGCUAGGUUUUGAGACGCUAGACUAUCAGAACAUAUGGCACAUUUUCGUCUUCUCUGAACUUGUGGUGUUAUAUUAUAUAAAACAAAAUAACGCGAAAUGAAUACGUAACACUUUCAAAUCCCAUCAUAAACUUGGUUCAAAUUAGUGAAAUGAGGACUUAUUGUCUUUUUAAGCAUAUAGAUCUAUUCUGCCAAAAAUGAAGAGGCCGGGUUUUGCCUAAAACUGAGUUCCCUUAUUAUUUAUAAAAUAUGAUAUUGCUGGAUAGUAUGAUAUGACACGACUUGUUUUUUCAAACAUGACUCGGAUAAAUGCUUGAAAUAUAGGCACGACACACGGACACAAACAAAUACCGCCAUCAGCUGAAAGUUUUUUUGUUAAAUGAUUUCAGAAUUUCAUCCGGAAUUUCAAAAUAGAUGGGUCUACGUCUUUUAACGAGUUGGGACGUGUUGUUUGAAAACAAAUAACUUGCUCCACCGCAGGCGCGUCAUAACCAACAUUCUUGGAUGAACAUCACCUUGAGAGUAUUUAAUAUUUUUAACGCGUACAAUAAUAUUCAUUUAUCAACGCACAAAGGAAUUUGGUGGGUUGAAAAUCAGAA